rnacentral:rRNA from 1 species
AACGAACGCUGGCGGCAUGCCUAACACAUGCAAGUCGAACGAGACCUUCGGGUCUAGUGGCGCACGGGUGCGUAACGCGUGGGAACCUGCCCUUAGGUUCGGAAUAACUCCCCGAAAGGGGUGCUAAUACCGGAUAAUGUCUUCUGACCAAUGAUUUAUUGCCUUUGGAUGGGCCAUCGUUGGAUUAGCUAGUUGGUAGGGUAAAAGCUUACUAAGGCGACGAUCCAUAGCUGGUUUGAGAGACUGAUCAGCCACACUGGGACUGAGACACGGCCCAGACUCCUACGGGAGGCAGCAGUGGGGAAUAUUGGACAAUGGGCGAAAGCCUGAUCCAGCAAUGCCGCGUGAGUGAUGAAGGCCUUAGGGUUGUAAAGCUCUUUUACCCGGGAUGAUAAUGACAGUACCGGGAGAAUAAGCUCCGGCUAACUCCGUG